GAGCAGACGGUGCUCGGUAACCGGGACUCCUUGGUGGAUGGCGCCUGAAGUGGUGACAGGUCAACCAUAUGGCCCCAAAGUGGACAUAUGGUCUUUUGGAAUUGUGGGAAUUGAAAUGAUAGAACAAGAACCUCCUUACUUGGGCGAAAGUUCUGGCACGUUGAAGAGUCAUCUGUCCGGGCUUCAAGGGUUAUGCUGGAGUAGUGAACUGAUUUGGAUGGGAGCAGAAGAGUUUCAGCAGGCAAUUUUUGGAAGAGAUGGAAGGCUCUUUUGACUGGGAAAGAAGUGCCUUUCUGUGAAGAAAAUAAUUGAGCGUGCUUUUAAAUCAGUCUGGCUUGUGCAAAAACAAAACUGGGCAACUGUUGAGAGUUUUUUGCAGAUUGAGGAGUUCUGGCUAGACAAGGGCCAUAUUCAGCCGAUGCACAAUCCAACCUGCUUGUACUAAUGGACAAUGGACACAUUCACAAACAAUGGAUAAUGGACAUAUUCAGAAAUGGGGUUGGUAUAUCCUUGAGAAAAAUACAAGAAGAGUCAUCAGGACUCAGCAAGUUUGACAGCAAGCUUGGGAAAGAAGGAAAAAAUUGAACCAUGAGUGGGCCAGAAGACGACAGCAAGACGCGUGAAAAAUUAGGUGAUCCAAUCAGCAUUCUAUUUUAGAUGUGUAAACAGCUAGGAUUAACCAAUCAUGUAUUAGCUAGAGACACAUGGACAGUAGAGAUUUAUUAUAAAUAUAGUCUU